rnacentral:rRNA from 1 species
CCCUUAGAUGUUCUGGGCCGCACGCGCGCUACACUGAACAGUUCAACAAGUCUUAACCUUGGCCGAUAGGUCUGGGUAAUCUUUGAACGCUGUUCGUGAUUGGGAUAGACCUUUGCAAUUAUGGGUCUUCAACGAGGAAUUCCUAGUAAACGCAAGUCAUCAGCUUGCAUUGAUUACGUCCCUGCCCUUUGUACACACCGCCCGUCGCACCUACCGAUUGAAUGGUCCGGUGAAAUCUUCGGAUCUGAGAGAUGUCUGAUUAAUUUCGGACGCCUUUUGGAAAAGUUGCUUAAACCUUACCAUUUAGAGGAAGGUGAAGUCGUAACA